UGGGGAGUGUGAAGUUACUAAAUUAGAGGUUAAUUACUUAUUAGGACUAAUGUGGAAAUAGUGAGACUUGGGGGUGUCAGUUGGAGUAAUAACUAACUUAGUCUAUAAAAUGACUAAGUCGGUUAUUACUGUGCUUAACAGAAAUAAGAGCAUUGUAGCUCGUUUUCCUUUUCCUUCUAUGAAAUCAAAAAGAUUGAAGGCUGAAUUGUUCUUGCUUGUUACAAUUCAGUUGAAGUUCGAUCGAUUCAGUACAAAUUAACAGUCCUCAUUUUCUCACUUUACUUCUUUUUUCAUUUUCCUUCUUCAUUUCUGCAUCUGGUCCCCUCUGAAAUUGUCCCUAUAUUAUUAUUCCUGAAUUGAGUAUUUAAUUUUCUCUUUUGUCCUAUCUCGUUUUAUAUGAAAGAAGGAACACACAUUCAAUACAUUAUAGAAAGUGGGGUUGCAUGUAUUUCUGGAUGUGGGCAUGCAUCUUUGAGAACUUCAACAACAAAUGCUAAUCUAGUAAGAUGCUUUUUCGGAUGCAAAUAUUAUAUGGUAAUUGUCUUUAAAAUUAUUAUGUAUUAUAUUAGAUUUUCUGCCCAAGAUUUUAAUUUAUUGUAAUUGUCUUGUGUAAUUUCUCAGGCUAUUGAUUGGGUGGCGUGUGGUUUUUUUUCUCCAGUGUUACGAUCCGGAAUUCUAUGGACAACAAAAAUAAUCAUCAAUUUACCGAAAAGCCCUAUUUUUUAUAUGAAAGAAAUUAAAUCAAAACCAAAAUUUUGCAACUGAGAGUUCAAUUUAUACAGAAGCCGAACCUGUGUGUCGAUAUCUUCUUCAACAGCUUGGAAUUUUGGUCUUUUCCCUUCAACAAUCUUCAGCCAACAAAUACCCAAUAAAUCCUAGAUUUUUAAUCAAACUCGAAAUUCUUGUAUUUCCCUGCAAAAAUCCCAAGCAGCAGCAAAAAUAUAAAGAGAAAUCGAGAGUUAAUGGAGAAGAAACAAGAUGAGAUCCAUGAUUAAUGGAGGAAAUCACUAUCUUGAAGUCUCCAUAGAGAAAAGGGAUUCUUACAAUUGACCGCCAAUCUUUUACCCUAGCUCCCCUUUGUUUAAUUUUAACAAUGUGUUUUUUUUUAUUUUAUAAAAUUUCAUUAAAAUUUAAACUCAAUAACUAAUCCAGUUUUUAGAUUAAUUAUCGACAUGAAAUGCUACGUGGGAGGUUCUUAAAAUUAAUAAAGAGUGUGUACAUCACGCACCUGAAAGAAAGCAAGGAGGGGGCUUUAUUAUAAAGGGGAUAAUAGUUAGGAGGGUGUUCGGAGGGUUUUGACCACACUCAAUAAUUUAAGUAAGAAACUCAGGAAAAAUUUAUAGUUCAAAGGGAUUUUAGGAAAUUAACUGAAUAAGUAAUGGUCACCGUGAC
rnacentral:lncRNA from 1 species